GAUGAACGCUGGCGGCGUGCCUAAUACAUGCAAGUCGAACGAAACUUCUUUAUCAGCUAGUUCUUGGACUCGCCGAUGAAUAGUUAAGUGGCGAACGGUCUGGUAACACGUUGGGAAUCAGCCCGGAAAAGUGGGAUAACUAUUGGAUAGGACUACUGAUUCGUGAUAACCAUAGAUACCUCUUGGUAACUAGGUAAAAGGUGGGGAUACUACCGCUUUUGGAGGGGCCCGGGCCGCAUUAGCUGGUUUGGAGGCUAAGGGCUUACUAGGGGAAUGAUGCGUAGACGAAGUGAGAGGUGGAUCGGCCACAUUGGGAGUGAGACAGGCCCCAAACUCCUACGGGAGGCCGCAGUCGGCAAUCUUCCACAAUGGGGGAAAGCCUUAUGGAGCAACGCCGCGUGGGUGAAGACGGUGUUGGGAUCGUAAAGACCUGCUGUUGGAGAAGAAAGUGUGUGAGCGUAACUGUACACGUUUCGACGGUACCUAACCAGAAAGCCCCUGCUAACUACGUG
rnacentral:rRNA from 1 species